AUACGGAGGGUGCAAGCGUUAAUCGGAAUUACUGGGCGUAAAGCGCGCGUAGGCGGUUUGAUCAGUCGGAUGUGAAAGCCCUGGGCUCAACCUGGGAACUGCAUUCGAUACUGUCAGACUAGAAUAUGGUAGAGGGUAGUGGAAUUCCUGGUGUAGCGGUGAAAUGCGUAGAUAUCAGGAGGAACAUCAGUGGCGAAGGCGGCUACCUGGACCAAUAUUGACGCUGAGGUGCGAAAGCGUGGGGAGCAAACAUGAUUAGAUACCCUAGUAGUCC
rnacentral:rRNA from 1 species